GGAAGCCUGCUUCGAGAUGAGUAUUCCCACCUCCUUGAGAGGGUAAGGCUCCCAGUAGACGACUGGGUUGAUAGGCCGGAUAUGGAAGCCCUGUAAGGGGUGGAGUUGACCGGUACUAAUAGGCCGAGGGCUUGUCCUCAGUUG
rnacentral:rRNA from 1 species